rnacentral:lncRNA from 1 species
CAAACAUCUGAUGAAGAACUUUGAUUUAUGGGCUGUCCAGGUGAAACCUGAACAGAUGGUAUCUUUUAAUAAUAAUUGGCACAUGAGUUUGUUAAGGAUUUCAGUCUCUUGAAAACAUGCAGCUCUGUAGAGGAAAACAAAGAGGCACAUUUUUAGAGUUAUCUACCUUGUCUUUAUCUUCAACAACAUCUGCCAAGACAUCAUCUGGAUCCAGGAUUCCUCCAUCUGUAUAUUCUAAGUGAUGAAUCUUCACCCAGUAACCAGG